UAUUCAGAGGAACCUGUUUUAUAAUCGAUAAUCCACGAUGGACCUUACUUAAAUUUGUAAUCAGCUUAUAUAUCGUCGUUAUUAGAAUAUUUUAUUAGAAAGUUAAUUUUCAAAAUUUUAUAAAAGAAAAUAUAUCAGAUCAAGGUGUAGCUUAUGUUUAAGUAAAAAUGGGUUACAAUAAAAAUAUUUAUAUGAAUAUAAAUUUGAAAUGUUUAUUGAAGGUGGAUUUGAUAGUAAAAUUAUAAAGAUUAAUAAUUUGAUUUUAGCUCUAAAAUAUGCACACAUCGCCCGUCACUCUUAUUAUUAAGGUAAGAUAAGUCGUAACAUAGUAGAUGUACUGGAAAGUGUAUCUAGAAUGCAAUUUAAAGCUUAUUAAGUAAAGCAUUUCAUUUACAUUGAAAAGAUUUUUGUGCAAAUCAAUAUAGAUUGAUUAGAUUUUAUUUAUUAAUUUAUUUAUUAUUUAUUUUAAAUUAUUAAAAAUAAUUAUAUAAUGUAAUGUUUUAGUAUAUAAUAUAGAAAAAAUAAUAUUAAUAAUAGUUUAAUAGUAUUGUGAAAUAAAAUUGAAAUAUU
rnacentral:rRNA from 1 species